rnacentral:rRNA from 1 species
AGGACGAACGCUGGCGGCGUGCUUAACACAUGCAAGUCGAGCGGAAAGGCCCUUCGGGGUACUCGAGCGGCGAACGGGUGAGUAACACGUGAGUAAUCUGCCCCUAGCUCUGGGAUAGCUCCGGGAAACCGGGAUUAAUACCGGAUACGACCACUUUAGACAUCUGUUGUGGUGGAAAGAAUUUUGGCUAGGGAUGAGCUCGCGGCCUAUCAGCUUGUUGGUGGGGUAAUGGCCUACCAAGGCGACGACGGGUAGCCGGCCUGAGAGGGCGACCGGCCACACUGGGACUGAGACACGGCCCAGACUCCUACGGGAGGCAGCAGUGGGGAAUAUUGCGCAAUGGGCGAAAGCCUGACGCAGCGACGCCGCGUGGGGGAUGAAGGCCUUCGGGUUGUAAACCCCUUUCAGCAGGGACGAAGGCGAAAGUGACGGUACCUGCAGAAGAAGCGCCGGCUAACUACGCGCCACGCAGCCGC